AAAAAAAAAAAGUUUUCUUCCAUACUUCUAUAAGAUUUUAAUGAUUUUCUCCAUAAAAGUCUUAUAUGUUGUUUUGUUGAUGGUUAGAAUAUCUUUUGUAAAUUACUUCUUCUAUUUCCCAGCUAUAGACAACCAGCAAAGUAAUUCAUUUCUGCAUAUGUAUCAAUUACCCAGCUAUCAUCUACGCUCUUGCAAAAUCUAGGAUUUUGUAGAUUCUUUCUGAUUUUUUUUUAAUAAGAAGCUGUGGAAAAAAAGACAGUAUUGUUUCUUGCUUUCCAAACCAUAUGAUCUCAUUUCUUUUUCUUGGCUUAACAGAGCUGGCUGAGAACUCCAGUGCAGUACUGAGCAGAGUCUGUGCGAUAAGCUGCCUUGUGGCAUUCCCAAGUCACUGCUUCUAAUGUUUUACUACCAGUGUUGUACCAACUGUAGGUUUCCAGCAGAAAUCUUUCCUCAGGUUAAGUAGCAUGUCUUAUGUUCCUACUUAUCUUUUUAAUAUAAUUGAGUAUUGGAUUUUACCAAUUGCUUUGUCUUUACCAGUUGACAUUUUCUCCUUUAAUCUGAAAUAUGUGGAAUCAGAGUAAUGCACAGUCUAAUGUCAGUUCAUAAAGUUUCUAUGGUAUAAAUGUUUUCUUGAAGGAGAUUCUAAUAUAUCACUAGAUUUGGUUUGUUCACAUUUUUAUGUGAGAUUUCUAUGUGUAUUUUAAAAUGAGAACAAUCAGAGGUCAUUCUCAGACUGUUCUCUGAUCUUGGUAUUAGAGUCACUUGAGUCUCACAGAAUGAGCUAAAAAUCAUUCCUUUUCCCUUAUUCUUUGGGAUAGUUUGUGUAAAGUUAGGGUUAUCUAUUCUUUGUAGAUCUGGAAGAACUUGCCCAUAAAACUGUCAGGAUUAGUGUUCUGAGAUCUUUUCUUUAAAAGGGGGAAGGGUGGCUAGAGUGCUGAUUUUUAACAAUUUCUAUACAAUUUAACGCAUCAAUUUCAUCGAUGAUUCUGGGACCAGCUGUUGGGUUUGUGAUCCAAUCUAUAAAAUUAAUAUUCAUUAUUCCUUCCUCCCUCCUUCCAUUGGUUUAUUCUGUCUUUUCUAACUUCCUGACAUGGCCAUUUAUUAACUUUCAGUCCUUUCUCUUUUCUGGCAGCAAAUAUUUAAGGCAAUAAAUUUCUCCCUAAGUACUGCUAUCGCUUCAUCCUACAAGCUGUGAUGCUAACACAGCUUCCUAACAUCCAUACAUGACUGAAUUUCACGAAUGUCUCCAGCUGCCUCCCCAGUGGUCGAACCACCUACAAGGUCUUAGGUCUGCUGCCCUUCCCUGCGACAUGAGCCCCCAUCACACACACAUAUGGACUAGUCAGUGUUGUUUGGUUCUGGACAGCUGAUACUUACUUGUUUACCCAAACGCUGGCCAUCUGCUCAUCACUGUUUCUUGCAUCUCAUUCCUUUUUUUAGGGUCUUGCCAAAGUACAUCCUUGAGUAGAUCUUUCAGCAAGGAUCUCUCCUUCAUAAACUUUCUCAGUCCUUAAAGCCCUGAGAAAAUUUACUUCACCUUCAUAGAUUAACUGAGAACAGAAUUCCAUGCUGACAGUUUUCUCUCACCACAUUGAAGAUAUUAUUUCACUUGUCUUCCCGCCUUUUCUUGAUGGGAUGUUUGGAAACACACUGUCAGUCUAUUUGUCAUUCCCUUGUAAUAUCUUUUUAAUCUCUCAUUACUUUUAAGACCCAUUUCUGGGGUUCUAAGGACUCAGUAAAAUGUUUUUAAGUGUGUAUUUAACUUAUUCAGGUUCACUGUACUGAGUGUGAGGAGUUAUGUUUUUCUUCAAUUCUGGAAAAUCCUUGGCCACUCAGUUCUUGGAAAAUGGUCUGGUCCCUAUUCCUUCCUGGUAGAGCUCCUAAUUAGACCUCAAUCUCUUUGUGCUACCAUUUGGAGAACUCGUUAGACCUACACUCCAGUCUUCAGCUAAAUCUUACCUGCUCUAUAAUCAGUCCUUUGAGUUACUCAAUUUGUUUUUUAAGUCUGACUGGUUUUUCUAUUUUCAUUGUCUUCUUUUCUACCUUUAAUAGUAAUUUUAUAUUAUAUCUUUGGUGGGGCUUUAUCACUGGCAACCCUUAAUGGGCUGAGUUGUGGGCCUGCCUCUAAUGAGUUGUUUUAUCUUUGCUUCAACUAGGCCCUCAGGGAAGACCAGCCAGGGACUAACUUUUAUAGGAGGCAUGGACAAAACAGAUAAAUUCUUACCUUUCAUCUCCCCUUACUACUACUGGGUAGGUGUUCCUUCUAGUCUGCCCUCCCAUUGAGGGUACAGCCCUUCAAGGGUUCAAGUCUUACAGGGGGAUGUGACAGAAGGCUCAGUUCCCAUUCCCAAUCUCAGACAAAAUCCCAUUCCCCCUGGACGUUAAAGCCAAAGACUCAGAUGACUUCAACUGAUAAUACCGCACCCCUACCCCUGUUCCAGGGUCAGCUCACUGCAAGCCCCAGUCACUCUCCACAAUCUUGGCUUAUCAACUCUGGUCAUCUCUUUCCCUACCUUGUGAAUGCACUACUAUGCAUUGUAAAGAGUGCUUACUAACUACGUAACAUUUCUAAGUGUUGGAGAAGAGGGUUUCAGAUCAGUUGAUCUAAAAUUUUAAGUGUAAUCUCUGAUUUUUUUUUUAACCCAAAGAAACUAAGAGAAAAUGCAGUAACGAAGACAGAGUCUGAAAAAAUUUAUUUCAUUUCUAGGAGGAUACAUAUAAUGGACUUCCUAUUUUAAAGAAACAAUGUUACUCAUUUUAAAGAAGAGCUGAAACACUAAAAAUAGAAAUGUAUUCUAUUAUAAGCCUUUGCUUAUUCAUCAGCCAUUUCAGAUUCAAUUUCUAUGCCUGAAGGGGAAAAAAAUAAAGAAUUGAUAAUUUUUGGUUUCUCUCCAAAUAACAGUCUUUAGAAAGUAAGUACUUAAACAGACCUAAAUCUUCUUGAACUUCCAAGAAGCCUACAGGCUUCACCUUAUUGAGGAAGACAGCAUGCCUAGGCGGCAGGAAUCAAGAACUGAUGUCUCAAAAUGGAUAUGAACAAUUAAGAUGUGCUAGCCCACAAGGGAGUUCUUAGUGCGGUAAACAUUUGUCUCCCCAAAGCAGGGGUCAAUCUCAUCUGUAUUGUAUCCAAUCAAACCUCACCACAUGAAAUAUGGUAAGUGAUGAACCAAUCGUCUACUCAAUAUCAUAUCAGGAUCAUAUGUGCUAAUGUAUACCAUUAUAAGGAUCAGAUCUAAAUAGAACACCCCAAGUAUCCAGAUGGAAAAUAAUACACACCAUGGAGUCUUAAUGUUUUCAGAGUGACUUCUUAGUUUUUCAUAGUUUUCACACUCUAAAGGUAGCUCUGAAGUUUCAUUUUCUGCUUGUUGCUGGUAUACGGAAACGUAACUGAUUCCAGGAGGGUGAUUUAUUUCCCCCACAGCAACUUGCCUAAUUCUACCGUAUCUGUCGAUUAAAAAAAAACAAAAACUACACAUAUAAGCAUAUGAAUCUCAGUUUUGUUCCUUUCUUCCCAAUUUCCUAUUGUUUGCUUAAGUUUUCUUGAAUUUUUGCACAGGGGAGGACCUUCAACACAGUGCUGAAGAGAAGGAAUGACAGCAAGUAUUCUGUUUUUCUCCUAUCGAAGGGAAAGAUUUAGGUGCCGCUCUCUUUAGUGUGAGGUUUGCUAAGCCUUUUUGUAGGCAUCCUUUAUCAGGUUAAAGAGGUGGCUUUCUUAUUCCCAGUUUACAUAAGUACAUGUUGAAUUUUAUCAAAUACUUUAUCUGUACUUAUUAAGAUAAUCAUACUAUUCUACUAUAACCUGUAGGUGUGGAAGGUGAAUAUAAGCUUAUUUUUAAACGUUAAACCAGGUUUGAACUCCUAGGAUAAAACGAUUUAGUCAUACAUAUUGCUGGAUUUGGUUUUUCUUUUCAGGUAUUAGAUCUGACUGACGGUUUUCUUUCCUCCUACUAUUCUUGUCAAGUUUUGUAGCAAGGUUGGCUGGCAUCAAAAUCAGUACUGUAGGACUCUUUUUUUUUUUUUCCCCAUUGUUUCUACUCUUUAGCAAUUACCUUUAAAAAAAAAAAA